rnacentral:lncRNA from 1 species
CCUUGGAUACUGUGCACCUUGCCUUAAUCAAAUGGCCUAAGUUGAGGGUGGCUAUCAUAGGGAUGUGUGAUAUAGAAUGAGUAUGAAUAAAGGUAGAAUAAAAAAAGAAUAAAAAGCUAGGUGCAGAGGAAAAAAGCAAGAAAAAGAAAAUUUGUGAAAAAAGAAUAAGUAAUUGAGAAAAGACUGCACCCAUCCUAAAUAAUUGUGAUCAAUAA